rfam:Salmo salar isolate Sally breed double haploid chromosome ssa14, whole genome shotgun sequence.
UGCAUUCACUACUGUAAGUUGCUCUGGAUAAGAGCGUCUGCCAAGUGACUAAAA